UUUGAAACCCUAGCUCAACCACCCCCUCUAACAAACCAAAAACUAAAACAAACCAUUUGAUACCACUAGUAAAGGAGAUUGAACAU
rnacentral:rRNA from 1 species